UUUUACAGAUAAUAUACCCUGUGUCAUCAUGGCUUCCAAACAGUAAUCCCUUCUUCAGAAAUUCAUCAGCUUCACAGAAAAUUUUGUUGAACAGCCUAAAAACAGAAGAUCAAGGCAAAACAAUCUGCUGUGUAUUGCAACCUAAGAAGUGAGCUGACCUUCCAUUUAGAGGGGCCUGCAACAGCAAUCUGCCUCCUUCAAAGGGUCUGUGGAUCCUCUUGGCUUUCCCGGUAUGUUCCUGUGGUAGUUCUUGGAGCAAAAGUUCACGAUGUGAGUCUCCACACACUGCUCUGUCCACUGGAGUGGGAGCUGCAAGUUAGUCCUGCCUCCAAUCUGCCAUUUUCCCCCACCUGAUCCAUCAUUCUAUUCUCUUUGUCUGAGGGGAAGGCUUGGAGCAGAUGGCAGAAGAAGCUGUUUAGGUAGCCUAAAAUGCAUUGUCAUUACAUUUGUCUGGAAGGCAAAGCCUGGGCUGGAGAUCUAGGCGGGAUCUGGCACAUCAUCACCACCUUUCCUGGUUUACUUAAAUGAAUUCUCAAGAUUAACUCUGAAGCCAUGGUAAAACAAAUAGAGAUCAUGUAUUGUUCUCCAAAGAUUCUCCAUCAUAUACUUGUAGAGCUGGUCUACACCAUGAUCUUGUCAUAGGGAAUAACAAAAUAGUAAGAGUGGGAUGUUAGAAUGAGAUCAACAAAUAACUUUACCUUUGAACAGAUGUUAAAUUGCAGUGUGUGGGGCUCAAUUUACUAUUAUCAAAUAUCUUCCCUAUAAAAAUACACAUUUAUCUGACUGGAAAGACAUUCAGAGUUUUAGGCAGACAAACAAAUGUAUGUGAACAUCUAACCUGCUUUAAAAUUCUGAACAUUUCUAUUAAACGCUGGGUCAAAAUUCUGGUUCUUGUUGAGUUGUCUUUUUUCUUCUUUGCAGCUCUCUCACUGGGCUUGACUAAAUGAAGAAGUUAGGUUUGUUGUCUGCAAUAAUCUAAGGCUUUUAGAAAACUCAACUUGGGAUGUCC
rnacentral:lncRNA from 10 species